AUCACAUCAAAGAUGUCCUGAACAUUUUUGAAAAAACUCUGUUCUUAUCAGCUUAAUAUCUGAUACGGGUCCUAUUUGGACCCAAGAUAUUAAACUCAUUUUUGGAAUUGGGCGGAGUGCUUGAAGCUUGCUUCACCUCCGCCACGGGUUGGCCCGGUAUUGCACUGCCUCCGGGAUCGGCCCACUCACC
rnacentral:snRNA from 1 species